CCACAAUGAGCCUUCCGAGGGCAUGAGGAGAUCUACUCUGAACCUGGUGGAGUGAUGGACUACGAGGAAGACCGAAGCCGACCAAAGAGGAGGCGACAUCCAAUGGCUUGAAGAAAGAGAAUUGAAUCCAUAGAAUUGGUUGUCUGCCAACUAUUGCCGUUUUUUUGUUCGUGGCAUUCCAACAACACUUGAUUGCAGAUUUUGGAGAGACACUCGUCUCUUUCGAAUUUGAACUUUCCUGUUAAUUUUGAACUCAAAUAUUUGACAGUUAGUUUGUAUUGGAACCAUAUCAUCAUUAUUCGUUUUGAGUCAACAAAGAUUAUAUUGGAUUUGAUAGUGCGGCUUAGAAAGUUAUAUCGCUAAUAUGCAAAGCGAUAAUUUCAGUUAUUGUGCUUCGUGAUGUUGCACUUAAAAAUCCUACUUUAUUUACUUAUGGAAUUAACUUUUGCAAGGGAUA